rnacentral:rRNA from 1 species
UACGGAGGGUGCUAGCGUUGUUCGGAAUCACUGGGCGUAAAGCGCGUGUAGGCGGUCCGCUAAGUCUGAUGUGAAAGCCCGGGGCUCACCCCCGGAAGUGCAUUGGAUACUGACGGACUCGAGUCCCGGAGAGGAGGGUGGAAUUCCUGGUGUAGCGGUGAAAUGCGUAGAUAUCGGGAGGAACACCUGUGGCGAAAGCGGCGCACUGGACCAUUACUGACGCUGAUGCACGAAAGCUAGGGGAGCAAACAGG